GAAUUGUUCACAAUGGGCGCAAGCCUGAUGACGCAACGCCGCGUGGGGGAUGAAGGUCUUCGGAUCGUAAACCCCUGUCGAAUGGGACGAAUAGCUUCCGGAUCAAUACCCCGGAGGAAUGACGGUAACGUUAAAGGAACCCACGGCUCACUCUGUGCGAGAAGGCGCGGUAAUACAGAGGUGGCAAGCGUUGUUCGGAAUUACUGGGCGUAAAGGGCGCGUAGGCGGCCAUCUAAGUCAGACGUGAAAUCCCCCGGCUCAACCUGGGAACUGCGUCUGAUACUGGAAGGCUAGAGUUUGGGAGAGGGAUGUAGAAUUCCAGGUGUAGCGGUGAAAUGCGUAGAUAUCUGGAGGAAUACCGGUGGCGAAGGCGGCAUCCUGGACCAAUACUGACGCUGAGGCGCGAAAGCUAGGGGAGCAAACGGG
rnacentral:rRNA from 1 species